CCGCCCCGCGCCCGCCCCGCCGUCCCGGUGCUGUGGGGCCUCCGCAGCCCGAGAAGGCCGGGACGAUGCUGGAGACACUGCGGGAACGGUUGCUGAGCGUCCAGCAGGACCUCGCCGCCGGGUUGAAGACUUUGGGUGACAAAUCGAGAGAAGCAAAAAAAAGCAGGCAGAGAACUGUUCAGUGUUUGCCAGAGUUUUCUCCUGGACUGGAGUUACUGAGCAGAUAUGAAGAUGCUUGGGCUGCCCUUCACAAAGGAGCCAAAGAUUGUGCAAAAGCUGGAGAGCUGGUGGAUAGUGAAGUUGUGAUGCUUUCUGCACAUUGGGAGAAGAAAAGGAACAGUCUGGCGGAACUACAGGAUCAGCUCCAACAGAUACCUGCGUUUUUGUCAGAUCUGGAAUGUCUCACAGCAAGCCUAGCCCAGCUAGAGGCAAACUUUGAGGAAAUGGAGAAUCAUCUGUUGUGUCUUGAGGACCUAUGUGAACAAUGUGAAUUGGAAAGAUACAAAUGUAUGCAGACGUUACAGCUGGAAAACUACAAGAAAACAAAAAGGAAGGAACUUGAGACAUUCAAAGUACAACAAAAUAUGUUUUCAGCCCUUGGCAUCAGAGAUCUCUCCCAAACAAAUCCUGCUGAGCUAGAUGCUGAACACGCACAGAAGGUUUUGGAUAUGGAGCACACCCAGCAGAUGAAGCUGAAGGAGCGUCAGAAGUUCUUUGAAGAGGCCUUCCAGCAGGACAUGGAGCAGUACCUUUCUACAGGAUACUUGCAGAUAGCAGAGAGGCGAGAGCCGAUUGGAAGUAUGUCUUCCAUGGAGGUGAACGUGGACAUGCUGGAACAGAUGGACCUAAUGGACAUGUCUGACCAAGAAGCACUUGAUGUCUUUUUAAACUCAGGAGGCGAAGACAAUAACAUGCUUUCUCCAAUGCUGGGGCCCGACUCCAACCCGUACGUGAGCGAGAUCAGCCUCCAGGUGCCGAGCCAGGCGGAGCUGAGGCAGAAGCUGUCCUCCCUGUCCUCCACCUGCACGGAUUCCGCCAGCCAGGACGCCAGCGAAGGGGAGUCUCCGGUGGUUCAGUCCGACGAGGAGGAAGUGCAAGUGGACACUGCUCUGGCUGCUGUCACUGAAAGAAAGGGCGCUUCGGAUGUUAGUGAUGAAAGUGACUCUCAAACUCUUUGAAUCUUAGAACCCAUAUCCUUUAAAAGAAUGACUUGUGAAUGAAUGAACACGUGAAUGAAGAGCUUGCCUGUGUAACCGUUCGCUAACCAAGCGUUAACAGCCAGAUCUUUUUACUUAGUCCUACUGCCUUUUUACAGAGUUGCCAGUCAUGUGGAGGUUGGUUUUUAAAACAAGCAAACAAGCAAAAUGCCUAAAGCACACACACUUUAAACAGCAGUCUUGGGGCUCAGGGGAGCAGUGAAACUGUUGUAUAUACUAUGUAUAAGAGAAUUAUUAAGGGGAAAGAAAGAGCCGAGUAACUUUGACCACUAACCUUGAAAUGGCUGAUUGGGAAAUACUUAAGGCUUGAUGUGUUAAUACUGAACCCAAAUUGUUCCUUGCAUGUUUCAGCUGCUGCAACUGAAGGUUUAGGAUCCAAAGCAAAAUGAAAAGUUAUUUUCUACUCUUUACUGCCUACUGCCUUUGUCUACUAAUGCAGCAGUGUCUACUACUCUCUCACACUUCUUAUUCAGGACCAAGUUAGAUAUCGUAGGUGUGUAAGGAAAAAAAAAACAACCUGAAAGGAGGAGAGGUGCAUAUUGAAAUGUUACACUCCUCGGGGAGCAGAUCUCUUGGCACUGUACAAACAUACUCCUCUUUCAAGAGAAAAUAAAAGUCUUUCUAUCCCAACCCUGUCUUUUACUUGAUUACCCGAGUGUUCUACUCGUGGCAGCGAACAGAGGAGACUAAUUCAGCAAUCAGGCAAAAAAUGGUUAUUUAUACCAAGCACCAGUGUCAUUGACUUUUUCCUGGUACCAUCUGUUUGGCUGCACUGCUGCAAGCCAGCAAUUUAAAGGAAAUCAACCUGAAAGAAUUAGCAGUCGAGUACAUUUUAUAGACCUUCAAAUCUGCAGUCACCUUGCUGCCACUUUUCUUCUGCAGUAUUUUUUCUCUCUAAAAUUGAGGUCUGUACCUGUCUAACUCCUGUUUCUUGUCAAGUCUCACCCUCUGUUCGCAGGGAUCUGCUCGCCUUUGAGGAGGCUCCUGGGCUCCUGCUCUUCAUGCGUGGAGGGAAGGAAUGUCCUCAGGAACAGCUGAUGUAAGCAGCACUUAUAAAUGUUACAAGAAAAACCCUGUAAGCAUCCACUCCAACCGAUGAAGAAAGUGAAACGU